AAAUUUUUCAGCUCUUUGAACCGUUCAAUCUUGGGAUGGAAGGUGCUCAGGCGUUCAUCUCACCGAAGGCUUCCUUUUGAACCGAUCGCAUUUUCGAUUGGACCAGGUUUGGUUCAGUUCUCAGUUAGUGAAAUACCGUGAGGGAGCGUCUCUGUGAGCUUGGUAGUUCGACUUUGAGUAGGUGAUGAUGUACCUUUGGAGCAAGCUUUGGAAGUUGAGGAAGACCCAGCACCUAGUGCUUAGGAUUUCUACUAGCUCUUAUGUUAAAUAGCUCUUCAUUUUGAAAGACUUCUAGACUUCAUUUUAUCAUGAUCUGUAUUUUGGAAACACUCUUUAGGUCCCAUUGAAUCUUUAUUCAAUCAUGUAUUUUGGAGAAUUAUGAACUUGUACUUAAGUUUUAAAACUUCCCAGCCAGACUUGGAUAACUGUACUCCUUAAUCCUAUCUAUUGUGUACUCUUAACUGCUUUCUAUUAUUAUAAUCGAUGCAUUCUACAUAUAUACAUUGCUAUAUAUUUUGGGAUGUUACAUUAAUGGUAUCAGAGCAGUUUGUCCUUAGGAUGACCUGUGAGUUGAGGGCUUGUCGUGUCUUCUCUGUGAAGAAUUGAGUGUAAAUGGUAUAAUUUACCAUUUCCUCCAAGUCUAGAUAGUAUAGUAUUGUAUCUAACUGGAGGUUUUGAGAACAGAAAACGUCUUGAUAGGAGUGAUGAGGGUGCACACUCAUGACUUUUACCAUAGAUGAUUUUCCUUUCUUAAUUCUGAAGGUUUGAGGUAAGAAAGAGUUAGGGUUCCAGUGUUGUUUCCUGUAGUAAUUCCUGUCUUGUUCUUGCCUUUGUAGUGGUGUAAUGUGCUCUAUAGUAGUAGAGGAAUGCAGAUUCAAGGACAACUUGACCUGUAUACCUUCAUUAGAAUUGGUUAAAGCCUUUGAGGCAAAUUCUGGCCUCGAAGAUAAGG